rnacentral:rRNA from 1 species
ACGGAAGGCAGCAGUGGGGAAUAUUGCACAAUGGGGGAAACCCUGAUGCAGCGACGCCGCGUGAACGAUGAAGUAUUUCGGUAUGUAAAGUUCUAUCAGCAGGGAAGAUAAUGACGGUACCUGACUAAGAAGCACCGGCUAACUACGUGCCAGCAGCCGCGGUAAUACGUAGGGGGCAAGCGUUAUCCGGAUUUACUGGGUGUAAAGGGAGCGUAGACGGCAAGGCAAGUCUGAUGUGAAAGCCCGUGGCUCAACUGCGGGACUGCAUUGGAAACUGGAGAACUAGAGUGUCGGAGGGGCAAGUGGAAUUCCUAGUGUAGCGGUGAAAUGCGUAGAUAUUAGGAGGAACACCAGUGGCGAAGGCGGCUUGCUGGACGAUAACUGACGCUGAGGCUCGAAAGCGUGGGGAGCAAACAGGAUUAGAUACCCUGGUA